rnacentral:rRNA from 1 species
ACGUACACUCCUGCGGGAGGCAGCAGUGGGGAAUAUUGGACAAUGGGCGCACGCCUGCUCCAGCCAUGCCGCGUGAGUGAUGAAGGCCCUAGGGUUGUAAAGCUCUUUCACCGGUGAAGAUAAUGACGGUAACCGGAGAAGAAGCCCCGGCUAACUUUGUGCCAGCAGCCGCGGUAAUCCGAAGGGGGCUAGCGUUGUUCGGAUUUACUGGGCGUAAAGCGCACGUAGGCGGACUAUUAAGUCAGGGGUGAAAUCCCGGGGCUCAACCCCGGAACUGCCUUGGAUACGGGUAGUCUUGAGAUCGAGAGAGGUGAGUGGAAUUCCGAGUGUAGAGGUGAAAUUCGUAGAUAUUCGGAGGAACACCAGUGGCGAAGGCGGCUCACUGGCUCGAUACUGACGCUGAGGUGCGAAAGCGUGGGGAGCAAACAGAAUUAGAAACCCGUGUAGUCCCAUG